GCUUUACAUUACUCGCUCGCCAUUCCUUCGUAUCAUUUGAUUUUCAUACUUCAGUUCAAUGAUGGACAGGGGAAUGAAUUUAGAAGGCGACGAUAGGCUAAGCAGCUUGCCAGAGGAUCUUAUUUACAAAAUUCUGUCUUACAAUGGCAUUAAACGAGCUAUUAAACCUAGUACCUUGGCUUCUAAAUGGAGAUAUAUGUGGACAGCAAUGCCCUUUCUCGAUUUCUCAAGUGAGGAUUUUUCUACAUUAACCAAGUUUUCCGCUUUUGUUGCCAAUGUUCUGUCUCUCCGCGAUAAUCAGGCCCAAGUGUACUCAAUCAAGCUUCGUUUCGUUGGAGAUGUUAGCCAGGACUUUGUUAAACAAAUCAUGGACUAUGCGUUUUCUCAUAACAUCCAAAGACUUGAUGUUACAUGCUUGCUUGAGGACCAUAGUGUUGAACUCCCUCUUUCUCUAUUUGGAUCCCAGUCUCUCAAACAUCUUAGCCUAAAAAGGGAUUUUAUUGUCCGGUGGGGUGAGAGUGAGAAUUUUCUAUUUUCAUACGACCUUACAACUACGUCAACUUGGGAGCUCCCGGCCUUAACAUCAUUGUGUCUCGGUGAUCUCACUUUAUGUGAUGACAGUACUGAUAAGCACUCUGGUCUUUUCUCUAAGUAUUUGAACUUGAAGAAUCUCACCUUAAGAGGUUGCAAAUUUAUAGGAUCGAGUGGUUUAUGCAUUUGGCAUCCUCUGCUAGCCGAUCUAACAAUUUAUAGUGUGCAUGGGAAUAAGAAUUUCUUUAUAGUGGUUGCUCUUCAACUCAAGAAUCUCAAUAUAGGUGGCUAUUGGAAGCUUCAAUAUCUGGUUUCUGCACCCGAACUUGCCUCCUUGCGCUUUAGCGGGUAUGAUCUUUUGUGCCUUUCAACAGACGGUUUCCACUCGUUAGAGAAGGUGGAUCUGUGUCUCUCCAGCACAUACAUCAGAUGCUCGUGAAAUUAUUAAUCUGUUUCAACAGCUCCAAAGUGUCAAAUAUCUUAAGAUUAACUUUGAAAUUGCUGAGCCUUCCCCAUUUGGGAAUUUAAAGAGUUUAAAGAUUCAUCCUUAUAAAGAACUUUCAGAGGUGCAAGAACAAAAGAUCGUAGGGAUGUCUGCAGAAGUGAAAAGCUACCUCUUAGAUAGUUCUUCAGGUGCCACCUUCACAAUGGUUACACGUAAGGAGAUUAGAGAUAUGAACAACACCAGAUUGGCACAAAAACUUAUGACAAGCUUAUGGAGACUGCUAAAGCGGGAGAAAGUCCGAACCGAUACCAACGGGACUCACCUGGAACGGUGGAAAAGACGAUGGGGGAGCCUCAUGGAAAAUUGUCAUGAAGAAGACAGGGUAGAACUUGAGAAUGAAAUGCAGAUGACACGUAUCAAUAGCUGUUGGGAAGAUAUCAGCGUGCAGAUUCAGAAAGGAAAAGAAGUGACUUGUGAGAUCGUUUCGAGUUUGCAGGAAAUUAAAGAUGUAAUGAUAAAGCUGCCUACUUCAAAGAGGGCUGAGAUGCGAACAUGUUUUUCUAGUUUGUGUGCAGAAGCUGACGCUGUUGUGAAUAAUAUAAUACAUCGUGUUACUUUGAAGCGAAGCCAUUUUAGUGCUUUCUUUCAAGAGAUGGCUUCAAACUUACAACCAUCUCUUUAGCUAACUGUAAGUUGUUCAUUCUUUUGUACCCUAUUUAGUGUGAGGGGAUAUCUACACAUACAUAUCAAGUUUUCAAUGUG